AUUGAACGCUGGCGGCAUGCCUUACACAUGCAAGUCGAACGGCAGCACGGGUGCUUGCCCCUGGUGGCGAGUGGCGAACGGGUGAGUAAUACAUCGGAACAUGUCCUGUAGUGGGGGAUAGCCCGGCGAAAGCCGGAUUAAUACCGCAUACGAUCUACGGAUGAAAGCGGGGGACCUUCGGGCCUCGCGCUAUAGGGUUGGCCGAUGGCUGAUUAGCUAGUUUGUGGGGUAAAGGCCUACCAAGGCGACGAUCAGUAGCUGGUCUGAGAGGACGACCAGCCACACUGGGACUGAGACACGGCCCAGACUCCUACGGGAGGCAGCAGUGGGGAAUUUUGGACAAUGGGCGAAAGCCUGAUCCAGCAAUGCCGCGUGUGUGAAGAAGGCCUUCGGGUUGUAAAGCACUUUUGUCCGGAAAGAAAUCCUUGGCCCUAAUACGGUCGGGGGAUGACGGUACCGGAAGAAUAAGCACCGGCUAACUACGUG
rnacentral:rRNA from 1 species